ACAGGUGACACACUUUAGUGGGAGAAGCCUGUAGAAGACCUGUCAGUUUCAGCUAUCAUUGAUAGAAGGACAACCAAUGAAGAUGCUACUGGGAACCUUAUUAGUCAUUCUAUGGCUACAGCUGGCCUGGGUGAGUACUCAACAGCUGAAUCAGAGUCCUCAGUCCAUAAGCAUUCAGGAAGGAGAAGACUUUAUCAUGAACUGCAGUUCCUCGACCAAUGUGCCCGCUCUACACUGGUAUAGACAGGAUCCUGGGAAAGGUCUUACCUUCUUGAUGGCAUUGAUUAAGGGGAAAGAACUGAAGCGUCAGGGGAAAAUAACUGCUCAGCUUGAUGAAAAAAAGCAGCACAGCUUCCUGCUCAUCACAGGAACUCAGCUCAGAGACUCAGCCAGAUACUUUUGUGCUUAUGACACAGUGUCUCCUAAACACCUGAUGCCUAUACAUAAACCAUUCAAGUGGGACUCUAGCUGCACGAUGUGCCAGGGAUGCUCCUGCGAUAAAAGUAGAAUAUUUCUCAAAAGGAUAUGCUUUGUAGGAAAGAAAUAUAGGGAGCUGAAUACAAGAAUAUGA